AACGAACGCUGGCGGCAUGCCUAACACAUGCAAGUCGAACGAGACCUUCGGGUCUAGUGGCGCACGGGUGCGUAACGCGUGGGAAUCUGCCCUGGGGUGCGGAAUAACUCGGAGAAAUCCGUGCUAAUACCGCAUAAUGUCUUCGGACCAAAGAUUUAUUGCCCUGGGAUGAGCCCGCGUAGGAUUAGCUUGUUGGUGAGGUAAAGGCUCACCAAGGCGACGAUCCUUAGCUGGUCUGAGAGGAUGAUCAGCCACACUGGGACUGAGACACGGCCCAGACUCCUACGGGAGGCAGCAGUGGGGAAUAUUGGACAAUGGGCGAAAGCCUGAUCCAGCAAUGCCGCGUGAGUGAUGAAGGCCUUAGGGUUGUAAAGCUCUUUUACCCGGGAUGAUAAUGACAGUACCGGGAGAAUAAGCUCCGGCUAACUCCGUGCCAGCAGCCGCGGUAAU
rnacentral:rRNA from 1 species